UACGAAGGGGGCUAGCGUUGCUCGGAAUCACUGGGCGUAAAGCGCACGUAGGCGGAUUGCUAAGUCAGGGGUGAAAUCCUGGAGCUCAACUCCAGAACUGCCUUUGAUACUGGCAACCUUUGAGUCCGGGAGAGGUGAGUGGAACUGCGAGUGUAGAGGUGAAAUUCGUAGAUAUUCGCAAGAACACCAGUGGCGAAGGCGGCUCACUGGCC
rnacentral:rRNA from 1 species